GACGAACGCUGGCGGCGUGCUUAACACAUGCAAGUCGAACGGAAAGGCCCUGCUUUUGUGGGGUGCUCGUGUGGCGAACGGGUGAGUACCACGUGAGUCACCUGCCCUUGACUUUGGGAUAACUUCAGGAAACUGGGGCUACUACCGGCUAGGAGCUCCUGCUGCAUGGUGGGGGUUGGAAAGUUUCGGCGGUUGGGGAUGGUCUCGCGGCUUAUCAGCUGGUUGGUGGGGUAGUGGCUUACCAAGGCUUUGACGGGGAGCGGGCCUGAGGGGGUGACCGGCCACAUUGGGACUGAGAAGCGGCCCAGACUCCUACGGGAGGCAACGGGGGGGAUAAUGACACAAUGGGCGGAAGCCUGAGGCAGGAACGCCGCGUGCGGGAUAACGGCCUUCGGGUUGUAAACCGCUUUGGCCUGGGACGAAGCGUUUGUGACGGUAAUGGGAUAAGAAGCACCGGCUAACUACGUG
rnacentral:rRNA from 1 species